UACGUAGGGUGCGAGCGUUGCCCGGAUUUAUUGGGCGUAAAGGGCGCGUAGGCGGUCGGAUAAGUCUUGUGUGAAAUCUUCGGGCUCAACUCGAAGUCUGCACAGGAAACUAUCUGGCUUGAGUGUGGGAGAGGUGAGUGGAAUUCCUGGUGUAGCGGUGAAAUGCGUAGAUAUCAGGAGGAACACUUGUGGCGAAAGCGGCUCACUGGACCACAACUGACGCUGAGGCGCGAAAGCUAGGGGAGCAAACAGG
rnacentral:rRNA from 1 species